UGACUUAAAACAUUGUUGCUAUAUAAAUACCUAAGUCUGCAAUCUGUGAACAUAGCCUAGACAGAGUUAACCAUUAUAUUAGAUUUGAUGAACCACACGUCCUCGCCAAAAGAAUACCGAUUCCAACCAAGGAUGAUCCGUGAGG